rnacentral:rRNA from 1 species
AUUGAACGCUGGCGGCAGGCCUAACACAUGCAAGUCGAGCGAGCGGCGGACGGGUGAGUCCUGUAUGGGGGCCUGCCCGUUAGAGGGGGAGAACUACAGGAAACGGUAGUUAAUACUGCAUACUAUUGGAUCAACCUCUAUUGGAUUAGCUAGUAGGUGAGGUAAUGGCCCACCAAGGCGACGAUCCCUAGUUGGUCUGAGAGGAUGAUCAGCAACACUGGAACUGAGACACGGCCCAGACUCCUACGGGAGGCAGCAGUGGGGAAUAUUGCACAAUGGGCGAAAGCCUGAUGCAGCCAUGCCGCGUGUGUGAAGAAGGCCCUAGGAUUGUAAAGUACUUUCAGUCGGGAGGCGUUACCGACAGAAUAAGCACCGGCUAACUCCGUGCCAGCAGCCGCGGUAAUAC